AGUGAACGCUGGCGGUAUGCCUAACACAUGCAAGUCGAACGGCAGCACAGUAAGAGCUUGCUCUUACGGGUGGCGAGUGGCGGACGGGUGAGGAAUACAUCGGAAUCUACUUUUUCGUGGGGGAUAACGUAGGGAAACUUACGCUAAUACCGCAUACGACCUACGGGUGAAAUCAGGGGAUCUUCGGACCUUGCGCGAUUGAAUGAGCCGAUGUCGGAUUAGCUAGUUGGCGGGGUAAAGGCCCACCAAGGCGACGAUCCGUAGCUGGUCUGAGAGGAUGAUCAGCCACACUGGAACUGAGACACGGUCCAGACUCCUACGGGAGGCAGCAGUGGUGAAUAUUGGACAAUGGGCGCAAGCCUGAUCCAGCCAUACCGCGUGGGUGAAGAAGGCCUUCGGGUUGUAAAGCCCUUUUGUUAGGAAAGAAAAGCAGCAGGUUAAUACCCCGCUGUUCUGACGGUACCCAAAGAAUAAGCACCGGCUAACUUCGUG
rnacentral:rRNA from 1 species